CUACGUGCCAGCAGCCGCGGUAAUACGGAAGGUCCAGGCGUUAUCCGGAUUUAUUGGGUUUAAAGGGAGUGUAGGCGGUCUGUUAAGCGUGUUGUGAAAUUUAGGUGCUCAACAUCUACCUUGCAGCGCGAACUGGCGGACUUGAGUGCACGCAACGUAUGCGGAAUUCAUGGUGUAGCGGUGAAAUGCUUAGAUAUCAUGACGAACUCCGAUUGCGAAGGCAGCGUACGGGAGUGUUACUGACGCUUAAGCUCGAAGGUGCGGGUAUCGAACAGGAUUAGAUACCCUGGUAGUCCGCACGGUAAACGAUGGAUGCCCGCUGUUAGCGCCUGGCGUUAGCGGCUAAGCGAAAGCAUUAAGCAUCCCACCUGGGGAGUACGCCGGCAACGGUGAAACUCAAAGGAAUUGACGGGGGCCCGCACAAGCGGAGGAACAUGUGGUUUAAUUCGAUGAUACGCGAGGAACCUUACCAGAUCUUGACAUCCUG
rnacentral:rRNA from 1 species